CGAAUAGGUGAAUAAAGAGAGCUGUCCGUCGACAGUCAACGUACCAAUUUAAUACUGUCAUGGAAUUGCUCUCUUUGUAUAAUAUUCG
rfam:Drosophila persimilis strain MSH-3 cont1.001291, whole genome shotgun sequence.